rnacentral:rRNA from 1 species
UACAGAGGUCUCAAGCGUUGUUCGGAUUCAUUGGGCGUAAAGGGUGCGUAGGCGGCGCGGUAAGUCGGGUGUGAAAUCUCGGGGCUUAACUCCGAAACUGCAUUCGAUACUGCCGUGCUUGAGGACUGGAGAGGAGACUGGAAUUUACGGUGUAGCGGUGAAAUGGCGUAGAUAUCGAGUAAGGAAGACCAGUGGCGGAAGGCGGGUCUUGGACAGUUCCUGACGCUGAGGCACGAAGGUCAGGGGAGCAAACGGG